rnacentral:lncRNA from 1 species
CCCCGUCCCUUCUUCCCAGGACACCUUCAUCGCUGUGUUCGCGCAGGUGGUUCGGGGCGUUGUUGCCCCAGACUUUGCUGCUUCGCUUCCGGCGGAUUCGCCUGCUCGGGACACCGCCUGCUGAGAGACGGAGGCUGUAGCCUCGCUUCUCCGGAAGACUCGAUGAAAGCAAUGGAAGACUAUUGAUGGCCUAAACACCAACAUGACCACAAGAUGUCCGAAGACCAUGAGUUCUAGCCUAUUAUGCUGGAAGUUCAGAAGCUCACAGAGAUAGGACUAUCUGGUGGAAGCCUUUGAGCAUGAGAACGGCAUGCAGGAAAAAGUUACAAAGUACUGAUUGCCCAGUUGUCCUGCAACUUCCUUCAUGAGGAAGAAUUGUUGGAACCAACCUGGAGACCAAUGGCAGUCUGCUCCAUAAGAAACAAAAAACUGUUAAAAAGAUGG